ACGGCUAUAUUACUUUAAUACACGAGUUCUCGUACGAUCAGCGAAAUUAAGCAAUGUCAAGCUUAGUCAGUACCUACAUGGGGGACCGCUUGGUAAUACCAGGUGCUGUAA